rnacentral:rRNA from 1 species
AUUGAACGCUGGCGGCAGGCCUAACACAUGCAAGUCGAGCGGAUGAAGGGAGCUUGCUCCUGGAUUCAGCGGCGGACGGGUGUGUAAUGCCUAGGAAUCUGCCUGGUAGUGGGGGAUAACGUCCGGAAACGGGCGCUAAUACCGCAUACGUCCUGAGGGAGAAAGUGGGGGAUCUUCGGACCUCACGCUAUCAGAUGAGCCUAGGUCGGAUUAGCUAGUUGGUGGGGUAAAGGCCUACCAAGGCGACGAUCCGUAACUGGUCUGAGAGGAUGAUCAGUCACACUGGAACUGAGACACGGUCCAGACUCCUACGGGAGGCAGCAGUGGGGAAUAUUGGACAAUGGGCGAAAGCCUGAUCCAGCCAUGCCGCGUGUGUGAAGAAGGUCUUCGGAUUGUAAAGCACUUUAAGUUGGGAGGAAGGGAAGUAAGUUAAUACAUUGCUGUUUUGACGGUAACAACAGAAUAAGCACCGGCUAACUUCGUG